GAUGAACGCUGGCGGCGUGCCUAAUACAUGCAAGUCGAGCGAACAGACGAGGAGCUUGCUCCUUUGACGUUAGCGGCGGACGGGUGAGUAACACGUGGAUAACCUACCUAUAAGACUGGGAUAACUUCGGGAAACCGGAGCUAAUACCGGAUAAUAUAUUGAACCGCAUGGUUCAAUAGUGAAAGACGGUUUUGCUGUCACUUAUAGAUGGAUCCGCGCCGCAUUAGCUAGUUGGUAAGGUAACGGCUUACCAAGGCAACGAUGCGUAGCCGACCCGAGAGGGUGAUCGGCCACACUGGAACUGAGACACGGUCCAGACUCCUACGGGAGGCAGCAGUAGGGAAUCUUCCGCAAUGGGCGAAAGCCUGACGGAGCAACGCCGCGUGAGUGAUGAAGGUCUUCGGAUCGUAAAACUCUGUUAUUAGGGAAGAACAAAUGUGUAAGUAACUAUGCACGUCUUGACGGUACCUAAUCAGAAAGCCACGGCUAACUACGUG
rnacentral:rRNA from 1 species